AUGGGGUCUCUGGAGGCAGAGAGAAAGGUCUUCAGGCCUUGCUGCCUGAUUUCAGGAAGAUGCCAUCUCAGGGAGCUGCAUUGUUUCCCCUUACCUGGAUCGGAAGCCAUCUCAAGAUGCCCAGUUAGACAAGGUUUGGAAAGGGGAUCUGCGUUCCCUCGGGGGAGCUGGAGCAUCAGAGAUUUAGAGGUGAAAGAACCUCAGAGGCCAUCUAGUCAAAUAUUCCAUUUUACUGAUGAGAUAACUGAGUCCAAGAGAUCCUCUGCCCAACCUCACAUAGCCAAGGACUCAUCAGCAUGGCAACCAUCUUGUCGAGAGCAUGAGUCAUAUGCUGCAAGUGUGAAAAGGGAUUUAUCUGCCAUAGUACUGUAA
rnacentral:lncRNA from 1 species